rnacentral:rRNA from 1 species
UGAACCACUUCGGUGGGGAUUAGUGGCGAACGGGUGAGUAACACGUGGGCAAUCUGCCCUGCACUCUGGGACAAGCCCUGGAAACGGGGUCUAAUACCGGAUACGACACUCUCGGGCAUCCGAUGAGUGUGGAAAGCUCCGGCGGUGCAGGAUGAGCCCGCGGCCUAUCAGCUUGUUGGUGAGGUAACGGCUCACCAAGGCGACGACGGGUAGCCGGCCUGAGAGGGCGACCGGCCACACUGGGACUGAGACACGGCCCAGACUCCUACGGGAGGCAGCAGUGGGGAAUAUUGCACAAUGGGCGCAAGCCUGAUGCAGCGACGCCGCGUGAGGGAUGACGGCCUUCGGGUUGUAAACCUCUUUCAGCAGGGAAGAAGCGAAAGUGACGGUACCUGCAGAAGAAGCGCCGGCUAACUACGUGCCAGCAGCCGCGGUAAUACGUAGGGCGCAAGCGUUGUCCGGAAUUAUUGGGCGUAAAGAGCUCGUAGGCGGCUUGUCGCGUCGGUUGUGAAAGCCCGGGGCUUAACCCCGGGUCUGCAGUCGAUACGGGCAGGCUAGAGUUCGGUAGGGGAGAUCGGAAUUCCUGGUGUAGCGGUGAAAUGCGCAGAUAUCAGGAGGAACACCGGUGGCGAAGGCGGAUCUCUGGGCCGAUACUGACGCUGAGGAGCGAAAGCGUGGGGAGCGAACAGGAUUAGAUACCCUGGUAGUCCACGCCGUAAACGGUGGGCACUAGGUGUGGGCGACAUUCCACGUCGUCCGUGCCGCAGCUA